AGCGUAAGCGAAAAAGCAAGGUGAUUUUGCUGUGAUGACUUGGCCGUGUAGUGUUUGCUUGUUAUUCAACAAAAUAUUGUUUUUUGGAUGCUAAUCUACUCCAUAGUACCUAAACUUUAUAAUAAUACGAUUCCGCUUGUUGCAGUGAUCAUUUUAAACAUUCUCGAUGGCUACCAGAAAAGUUGUCAUUGCGCCCGAGGAUAGCGAAUUGUCUACAGUAGAAGAGGCUUCUCCGGGAAAAUUAGCUGAGGUAAAGAAGUCCAAGAAGCAUAAAAAACAUAAGAAACACAGAAAAUCUAACCGCUUGGAGAAAGACGAAAAGUCUAAAUCUAAAAAGCACAAAAAACAUAAACGAAAACAUCGUGGUGAAGAAGGAGAAGUCAGCGAUACUGAUGGCGAUGAUGAGGAUAAUGCGAAAAAUGGAUCUAAGAUCGACAUACGCAAAUUGGAGCACGCCAUUCGAGUGAAACCAAAAGACAGCGAUGGCAAGACAAGAGAUAACGGCAAUUUGAAAGCUUCUCUUGAAAAAAGAAAACAACCGGAGAUAUCAACAGAUCCGGAAAAGCUGGUUGCUAUAUUGACCAAAUCAAUAGAUAAAAACAAGGAACAAACUCAACAGGAGAUAGUUUCCGUAGAAAGCGAUAGCGAUGCCACAGAGGUGGAAGAUGCUCCUAGUCCCGACGUUGCUGUUAUCGAGGAUGAACUUAAUCUGGAGGAUUUGAUGCGACAAAAAGCACUACUUCAGGCAAGGCUUGGAGAAUGUGUUUCCGAUGAUGACGACGAAGGCGAAAUCAAACAGGAAUCACGAAAAUCUGCAAGCGAGAAACGAAAAAGCCGGAAAGUGGACGACGAUAUCAUUACCAUCGAAGGCGACUCCAGUGCAGAAGAUGUCAAUCGAUUGCUCAAAAAAGCAAGACAAAGAAGCCGUUCAGUCGGCCGCGAAGGAAAAGGAAAAUCCGAGUCAGAAAAGCGUACCAGCCGCGGUGAGAUUGACGCAAAGGCUCGUGCCAGACAACAGGAAAUAGAACGUGAACGUACUAGAGAAGAUCAGCGAAGACAGCGCGAGCAUGUAGAACAUAACCGCCGAAUGGCACAGGAACGCUAUGAUCGUGAGAGAGCACGAGACCGCGAUCGUGAACGCGAACGGGAUAGAGCUCGAGCCAGGCAGCGGGAUCGUGAGCGAUCAAUUGAGCGCUAUCGUGAUAGGCGCGGAUCAAUGGAUCGUAGUCGGGAAGGUCGACGUUCUGCGGAACGAGGCGUUACCGGACGAAGGUUGAGUUCCAGAGAUCGAUUCCGCGGACGUAGCCGCAGUCGCAGCCGCGAUAGAGGUGGCUGGCGAGAACGUGACGAUCGUGGUCGGUACGAUCGAGAUCGAGGUGCGCGUAAUGGUAGGGAUUAUCGCGGUGGCACGAAACGUAAACCGGAAGAUGACAAAUACAAAGACUCACUCAGCGAAGGACUGAAGCAGCAGAAAGAAAGUAGCAGUGAUAGCGAGGUUGGCGACAUCAAUAUAGAUGACGAGGAGGAUGAGGAGAAAAUUAUCGAAAAACGAAGAAAGCAGCGGGAGGAGUUAUUGAAGAAACUCGGAGCUGUUAAUGAGGACAGCAAUCCACCACCUGAAGCUAAACACGCUCCUAUCGCUGAAAUCAAAACUCAUGCAAAACCCGUCGACAAACAGGAGCCACCAAGCAAUCAUACCAGCAAACCACGUAAAAGGGCAGAUGAUUUCUUUGUUAUUGCAGAACCAGCCAAAGCGGAUACUCUGAAAGAUACUAGUGACAAACAUAACGUUUCUCUAACACCACCGAUUCCGAUUACCAGAGUAACGGCGGAGGAACAUAAAGAUUUACGCGAAGAUGAACGAGCAAAGCAGGACAAAGGAUACAAACGGAACGAAUGGGACAUGUUUGCCGAGCAGGACAUUGAUUCGAAUUUCGAUUCACCGAACACCGUGGUUGCUAAUAAACAAGGGAACGAAAAUCCGGCUCUCACGGACAAUUGGGACGACGCGGAAGGAUACUAUAGAGUACGAAUUGGCGAAGUACUGGACAACCGUUAUGUGGUUGCUAAUUAUACAGGUCAAGGCGUUUUCAGUACGGUCGUGCGAGCAAAAGAUCAGGCGCGUGGAAAUGCUCUAGUUGCAGUUAAAAUUAUUAGAAACAAUGAAAUAAUGCAUAAAACUGGUCUUCGCGAGCUGGAAACACUGAAAAAACUUAACGAUACUGAUCCCGAGGACCGGUAUCACUGUCUCAGACUUUACAGGCACUUUUUCCACAAACAGCAUCUCUGUAUGGUUCUGGAACCGCUCAGCAUGAAUCUUCGUGAAGUUCUCAAAAAGUACGGCAAGAACGUGGGUCUUCACAUCAAAGCCGUACGAAGCUACACACAACAGCUACUACUUGCUCUUAAACUUCUCAAAAAAUCUGGCACCUUGCACGCCGAUAUCAAACCGGACAAUAUUUUGGUCAACGACAACAAUCUGGUGCUGAAGCUGUGCGAUUUUGGUUCUGCUUCGUCGAUCACGGACAACGACAUCACGCCGUAUCUGGUAUCACGGUUCUAUCGUGCACCGGAGAUCAUUCUCGGCCUUCCGUACGAUUACGGAAUCGAUAUGUGGUCCGCCGGUUGCACCAUCUAUGAAUUGUAUACUGGCAAAAUCUUAUUUAGUGGUAAAUCAAAUAAUCAAAUGCUUAAAUUUUUCAUGGAUUUAAAGGGCAAGAUACCGAACAAGAUCAUACGGAAAGGACAGUUUAAGGAUCAACAUUUCGAUCAGAACUGCAACUUCCUCUCACAUGAAAUCGACAAGAUUACGGAAAGGGAAAAAGUCGUCGUAGUCUCGGUGAUCAAACCGAACAGGGACCUACAGCAGGAACUUGUAGCAGGGCAAAACCUUCCGGACGACCAAAUACGCAAGGUGUCGCAGCUGAAGGAUCUGUUGGACAAAGUAUUCGCGCUUGAUUCAGCGAAGCGCAUUUCACUAAAUCACGCACUGGCGCAUCCCUUCAUACAGGAUAAGAUCUAAACGGGAUAAUCCUUCGGAAAUCAUGUAAACAGCAAACAUGAACGAGCUAAUUUGCGAAUGAUAAGGAUGCUCGGUAUUUUCGUACCGUUAAUAACAGUGUAUGAUAGGCGUUAAAGUGCACGUUGACGAUCUCUUGUUUUUACGAUGCAAAAAUAAGAGAGCGCUUGGAUCACAUGGCUGGCUGAACGCGGACGGGACUGAAACAAACGAGCCGCUCAACCAGAAUCUCGCACAGCGCAGUCAACAUCUGCCUUUCUUUAUCUAUUCCAACCCACACGAUCGCUCUAAGCAAAUAUUUCAUCUUUUAAGCAAAACACUUAGACCAAAAAUAUCCUAGGUCCCUCAAAACCAAUCCAGAGCGUAAAAUGCGUACGUUCAGGUUGAGCUGUACCAACAAUUUUGUAUGGUGACCAAAGAGGUAGUGACAUAAUUGACAUUUUCAACACAGCUAUUUUUGUUUAGUUCUUUAGUUUCCAAAUUUCCAUCUAUCCGUUCAAAUUCAUCCUUUCGACCUAUAUUUUCGUCAAUCUCACCUGUUUCAAUUUGUCCUAACCGAGAAUGAACCUAAAUGCCAUUCCAAAAGGCACUUGUUGUGAACGAUUGAUCUUCUGCUGUUUUUUCUUCUACGAUUUUUUUUCAGAUCCGAUGCAAGUGGUGAACAUUGCUUGACGGUCCGCUGGUAUGCGCAUGGUUUCAACAGUUGACAAUAUCUCUCCGAGGCACUCAGACGCUAUCCAGACUAAGUGGAAUCAGCAAACAUUCGGUAAGCAUUUUACUGUUGGCCAGCGCAGGUAAAUUAUCCACAGGCUUAUAUCGUAUAUACAGUUUAAGCAUGGUAAUCUUCCAAUUAUUGUUUUCUUGCGGAUCCCUCCGCAGUCCAAUCAUACUUUCAAACUCCCCUAGACUAGUUUGUCGGUUAUCCGGUCCUAUUCGGUUGGUGUACACCACACCGACGGUCAGUACUAGCACUCCGGUUUGCGUAAUUCGUCCCUGACAGCCAUCGAACAUGAUGUUUGGUACGAACUGGAAGUUGUAUUGAAACUUUAAGCUUAAAAUUAAAUUGAUAAUGUCCUUUUGCCCUCGGACUUCCUCUACCCCUUGCUGGGAUUCACUGAUUUCGAGCAUUACUGAGCAAACUGCAUUCGGCCAAAAUGCACUCUCAUCAAGUGAGUUACGGUUCCAUUUAAGAAAAAACCAGAUUGAGUAAUCUAACGCCAACAGAUUUACCGGGUACUGCUCCAGUCCCGGUUCAGUGGUCUCGUAUCCAGGCCCGUUUGUGUUAUUGCCCAUUGGUCCACCCGUUGCGACGAGAUUUUUCAGAUUACCGACAUUUUGUUUAGUGCUAUUGGACGAGCUGGAUUCCGCUGAGGUAGACGGAAGGAUGGCCGCUAGCGGAUCGGAGCUGGAUGUACCUUCUGCUGGUGCUCCAUAUUUAACCCGCCAGAAAUGGAGGCACUGCUUUAUCAGACUAGAUUUUGUACUUUCUGGCGGUAGUUGUACGUUAUAACUUUGCAGGUAUUUGAAAAUGAACUCCGGUUUCACGAUGUUCUUCGAUAACAAUGAGGCGGCAUCGCGACAAUUUUCCAACAUGACAUUGAGUGAUUCUGAAAUGAGGAAAAGUUGCAAUUAAAAAAAAUAAACGAACGCUUGUUCAAAAUGAA